rnacentral:rRNA from 1 species
UACGUAGGGUGCAAGCGUUAAUCGGAAUUACUGGGCGUAAAGCGUGCGCAGGCGGUUAUGUAAGACAGAUGUGAAAUCCCCGGGCUCAACCUGGGAACUGCAUUUGUGACUGCAUAGCUGGAGUACGGUAGAGGGGGAUGGAAUUCCGCGUGUAGCAGUGAAAUGCGUAGAUAUGCGGAGGAACACCGAUGGCGAAGGCAAUCCCCUGGACCUGUACUGACGCUCAUGCACGAAAGCGUGGGGAGCAAACAGA